UCCCAGACUCCUACGGGAGGCAGCAGUGGGGAAUAUUGCACAAUGGGGGAAACCCUGAUGCAGCGACGCCGCGUGAGUGAGGAAGUAUUUCGGUAUGUAAAGCCCUAUCAGCAGGGAAGAAGAAAUGGCGGUACCUGAGUAAGAAGCACCGGCUAAAUACGUGCCAGCAGCCGCGGUAAUACGUAUGGUGCAAGCGUUAUCCGGAUUUACUGGGUGUAAAGGGAGCGCAGGCGGCACGGCAAGCCUGAUGUGAAAGCCCGCGGCCCAACCGCGGGACUGCAUUGGGAACUACCGGGCUGGAGUGCCGGAGAGGCAGGCGGAAUUCCUAGUGUAGCGGUGAAAUGCGUAGAUAUUAGGAGGAACACCAGUGGCGAAGGCGGCCUGCUGGACGAUGACUGACGUUGAGGCUCGAAAGCGUGGGGAGCAAACAGGAUUAGAUACCCUCGUAC
rnacentral:rRNA from 1 species